rnacentral:rRNA from 1 species
GAUGAACGCUAGCGGCAGGCCUAAUACAUGCAAGUCGGACGGGAUCCGUCGGAGAGCUUGCUCGAAGACGGUGAGAGUGGCGCACGGGUGCGUAACGCGUGAGCAACCUACCUCUAUCAGGGGGAUAGCCUCUCGAAAGAGAGAUUAACACCGCAUAAUAUAUGUGACCGGCAUCGGUUGGAUAUUAAAUAUUUAUAGGAUAGAGAUGGGCUCGCGUGACAUUAGCUAGUUGGUAGGGGAACGGCUUACCAAGGCGACGAUGUCUAGGGGCUCUGAGGGGAGAAUCCAUCACACUGGUACUGAGACACGGACCAGACUCCUACGGGAGGCAGCAGUAAGGAAUAUUGGUCAAUGGGCGGAAGCGUGAACCAGCCAUGCCGCGUGCAGGAUGACUGCCCUAUGGGUUGUAAACUGCUUUUGACCAGGAAUAAACCUUUCUACGUUUAGGGAGCUGAAUGUACUGGAAGAAUAAGGAUCGGCUAACUCCGUGCCAGCCGCCGCGGUAA